rnacentral:lncRNA from 1 species
ACCCCUCAAUCUGCAAUUAAAAACAGAAAGAACAAAAAAAUAAAUAGAAACAGGAGCCGCAAAGAACACGCAUCAACGCCAUCUUCCUCUCAAAUCCGUCCCAUCAAUUCCUUGCUAUUUUGAAACGAUCCCAACCUCUAUCCCAAACAAAAUCGGCCACUGAAUCCAUUUUUGGCAUCAAUUUUAUCGACUGUGACUCCGUUUAAUCAUAAACAACUACAUUUCUUUCCUUGGGCGAGCUGUUUUUGGUCGACUCCGAUCACAACGUUUGUCGUCUCAAAAAUAUGACAUCAUUUUUGGAUUCCUCUCGUUGAAACCUUCUAGAAACACUACUCAUUUGUAUUUUUCGGUGAAGUUGAUGUUAGACCCUUCCGGUGCUCCGACGAGUCGGUGAGACAUUUUCUGCAGUUUUUCUUAUUGUUUUGGCUCCAAUUAUGUUCCUAAAAUUAUUAUUAAUUAUUUAACAUUUAUUUUUAUGCUCCGCAUAAUUUAUCAAUCACGUCUCAAUGAUUUUUGUGAACUCGUCGUUUAUUGGGACUUGCUCGCUGGACGUUGUCGAUCUGCAGUUGCUGUUAAAAAUUUCCAUUGAUUUCUGUUGUUUGAGAAAACAUUGAAAUAAGGUAAGGGGUGAGAGAGAUGAACGGGAAAACCGUAUUUUCGAACAAUUCAUUUGGGGCUCGCCACCUAUGGCAGUAGCUAUUUGAGAGAUAAAUUAAUUAAUAUGCAAAUAGGAAAAUUGUGAGAUUAAAAUAUAGAAUAUAAACAUUUAUAAGGUGUUGAUUGAUUUAAUUUCUUUAAAUGUGUGAUAUUUGAUAUUAUUCUGAUAUUGAGUGUCAAAUGAAUUUUAUGUAUAUGUUUGAUUAGAUGAGUUUAUG